rnacentral:rRNA from 1 species
UACGUAGGGUGCAAGCGUUGUCCGGAAUUAUUGGGCGUAAAGAGCUCGUAGGUGGUUCGGUAAGUCGGAUGUGAAAUCUCCAGGCUCAACCUGGAGGGGUCAUUCGAUACUGCCGUGACUAGAGGUCGGUAGGGGAGUGUGGAAUUCCCGGUGUAGCGGUGAAAUGCGCAGAUAUCGGGAGGAACACCAGUAGCGAAGGCGGCUCGCUGGGCCAUUCCUGACGCUGAGGCGCGAAAGCGUGGGGAGCAAACAGG